AUGUUGGAGAAACCUCUAAGUGGGUGCCAUUAUAGAUGGAUUUGGAAAGCCAAGAUCCCUCUUAAGAUCAAAAAAAUUCUGUGGCAAAUGUCGCAAGACACAGUCCUUACUAGGCAAGUGAUGAGCAAACGGAAAUGGACAGGGAAUCCCUGUUGCUUUUUCUGCAAACAGAUAGAAACGGUGCAACAUCUGUUCUUUACCUGUCCUGUGGCCAGAAUUGUCUGGCGAUCUAUUGGAGUAGUUCUUGGCACUGAUAGAUGUCCGUCGAACUAUUGGCAAUACUUUGUGUGGUGUCACAAAUUCCUUCCUGGGAAGCAAAAGUUUUAUACAGUGGGCUUAGCGGCCGUAUGCUGGGCCAUUUGGCUGGCACGCAAUCGAGCUACUUUUGAAAAGAAACAAAUUAAGACUCCCUUUGAGAUUGUGUUUUCUCUCUGCUCUUUUCUACUCUACUGGACAGGGCUACAACAAGGAGAGGACGCCAAGGAGCUUCGCGCUGGAGCUGAGAUGAUCAGGACUGGCACAAUGCAGUUGAUGAAGAUGUGUGGUGCUGUCAAGCAACCAAUCCAAGGUGCCUGA
rnacentral:rRNA from 1 species